UCUCACACUCCAGUUGAAUCCUAUCUUCAACGAGUCUAGCAUCCUCGAGUAGGGCUGAGCAUCUGUGCUCCAAAGCCUGGACCUCAUGGCGGAGCUUUUGAUUGUGAAGUUUAGACUCCUCUGCAGCUGAGGCCAGAUCUCUAAUGCGAUCAGAACUCUUACUCAGCUCCUGCUCGAGAACCUCAACCCGAGCUAGCGCUCCCUCCUGCUGGACCUUCACCUUGUCAAGAUGAGCCUGAGCUCCUUCGAAAUCAGUCUUCAAGGCCUCGUACUGACGCUGGAC
rnacentral:lncRNA from 1 species